rnacentral:misc_RNA from 1 species
GGUGCUUGCAGAAAUGCUUGCACGGCGGCGGCCUUAAAACGCGCCAAAUGGCACCCUUUGUUUAUGAGUACCGUUCGUUUCCUCGGUGGGCUUGCCUGCCACGAGGACCAACAAAAACCUUUUGUAAUUGCAGUCAGCGUCAGAAAAACAUAAUAAUUACAACUUUCAACAACGGAUCUCUUGGUUCU